rnacentral:tRNA from 1 species
GUAAAUAUAGCUUAAUAGGUAAAGUCUUAGAUUGUGGUUUUAAAAGUUACGAGUUCAAUUCUCGUUAUUUACCA